rnacentral:lncRNA from 1 species
ACACCUUUUCCCCAGCACUUGGCAUAUCCUAUCUUGGAUCAGGUUUGGCUCCUCGGUUGACUGAGCGCUCCCUGAGAGCAGGAACUGGGCCUCCUCCGCCUCUCUAACCCAACCACCCAGCAGGGAGCCUGGCACACAGUGGGUGCUGGAGAAAUGCUGGAAGAAGGGGAACGCGGAGUCGGGAGCCAUCUAUCUCAAUUACGGCUGGGCCUCUGCUUCUUUGCCCAUCUAAGAACACAACUCUAGAGAACUGGGCCAUCAGACACUUUUCUUCGGGGAAUAACACUGGAUUAAAAGGCAGUUCAAGGGGCCGGCCCCGUGGCCGAGAGAUUAAGUUCACGCACUCCACUUCGGCAGCCCAGAGUUUCGCCGGUUUGGAUCCUGGGUGUGGACAUGGCACCGCUCAUCAAGCCAUGCUGAGGGGGCACCCCGCAUGCCACAACUAGAAGGACCCACAACUAAAAAUACACAACUAUGUACCGGGGGAUUUUGGGAGAAAAAUGAAAAAUAAAAUAAAAUAAAAUAAAGACA